ACGCACGCUGGCGGCAUGCCUAACACAUGCAAGUCGAACGAGACCUUCGGGUCUAGUGGCGCACGGGUGCGUAACGCGUGGGAACCUGCCCUUAGGUUCGGAAUAACUCCCCGAAAGGGGUGCUAAUACCGGAUAAUGUCUUCGGACCAAAGAUUUAUCGCCUUUGGAUGGGCCCGCGUUGGAUUAGCUAGUUGGUAGGGUAAAAGCCUACCAAGGCGACGAUCCAUAGCUGGUCUGAGAGGAUGAUCAGCCACACUGGGACUGAGACACGGCCCAGACUCCUACGGGAGGCAGCAGUGGGGAAUAUUGGACAAUGGGCGAAAGCCUGAUCCAGCAAUGCCGCGUGAGUGAUGAAGGCCUUAGGGUUGUAAAGCUCUUUUACCCGGGAUGAUAAUGACAGUACCGGGAGAAUAAGCUCCGGCUAACUCCGUG
rnacentral:rRNA from 1 species